CAUGGUGGAAAAAUACAGUCGCCUUGCGAACAACUUUCCUACUUAAACAAUAUCUGUUUUCUAUAUUUUAGCUCACUGCAGCGAACAUCACAGUUAGCUGUCUUGGUAUCCUGAAGAUCGAGAACAGUUGUCGUUAUUGAGUGACAGAUUAUAACAGAACAUGUUUCUUAGAGAAUGUAAACUUUACACAUGUCAACUUUGCACUUGUCUGAUUGAUAACACUUGCCUAUGUUUACCUACCCUGGAUUCCAGAGCCUUCGACAGUAAAUAAUAAAUUGAAAUGUCGCGAAGGCUCUGGUUCAACGGGGCGAUUCUUUGAUUAAACCGCGCCAAUCACAAAACAGAAUUAGUGGUUUUAGUACAGAUUACAGAUUCUGUACUAAAACCACUAAUUCUG